GAUGAACGCUGGCGGCGUGCCUAAUACAUGCAAGUCGAGCGAACAGACGAGGAGCUUGCUCCUCUGACGUUAGCGGCGGACGGGUGAGUAAAACGUGGAUAACCUACCUAUAAGACUGGGAUAACUUCGGGAAACCGGAGCUAAUACCGGAUAACAUGUUGAACCGCAUGGUUCAACAGUGAAGGACGGUCUUGCUGUCGCUUAUAGAUGGAUCCGCGCCGCAUUAGCUAGUUGGUAAGGUAACGGCUUACCAAGGCAACGAUGCGUAGCCGACCUGAGAGGGUGAUCGGCCACACUGGAACUGAGGCACGGUCCAGACUCCUACGGGAGGCAGCAGUAGGGAAUAUUCCGCAAUGGGCGAAAGCCUGACGGAGCAACGCCGCGUGAGUGAAGAAGGUCUUCGGAUCGUAAAACUCUGUUAUUAGGGAAGAACAAAUGUGUAAGUAACUAUGCACGUCUUGACGGUACCUAAUCAGAAAGCCACGGCUAACUACGUG
rnacentral:rRNA from 1 species